rnacentral:lncRNA from 1 species
CUCCUGCUCUGCUGUUCAUGCUCCAGCACCUUCCUACCCCCGUGCAUUUAACCCCACUCAGCCUUGGUGGCCUUGUCUGUGGGAGAGAUGAUACCACCAGCCCUGCAGGGCUUUUGUGAGGUGGAAAAUGCCCUUACAGCGCUGCAGGACUGGGGGUGCUCCCAGACCCCGAAUGGGAAGAGGUGGGAGACUGUGUGUUAGGGGUGGCUGGGACAACGGGAAGAUGGACAAUAGUUCCUGCUCCUGGAGCCCAGAAGCCUUAGUCUUCUCAUCCCUGCUCCUUCCAUCAGACUUCCUCUGAAGCCUCGGGGGCAGGGGCAGAGGACGAGCUUGAGAAGGAGGGUCAGUGCAGUUAAGCUGGAGCUCUUGACAUUUUAAGAGCAGAAAAGAAUUCUGGAAAAAACUGGGACAGGAGCCAGGCUCGGCGAUGGGUGGAGUGAAAUCCGAGGGCAUCUGCGCCAGGGAACCUGCGGACCCGGCCGACCUGUCAGGUGCUAAAUAUCCCCCAGUGACUUAAGUCCUCUCCACUUAAGACAGUUCACCUGCUCCUGGCCUCUGCGAUUUCUGUUUUCUUUCUGAAAUGGCCGUGUGGCCAGGAAAUCUAUGUGUGUCACUCCGCCUGCUCCUAGCUCUUCCAACUUCAUCGACCAAGAACUGUUCCCAUGGGGUGGAAGUUCCAAACUGGCUUCUUAAAGAGACUUCUAAUUUCUUCCAAACUAAAUGAUAAAUCAACGAAGAAAACACAGGCCACCUUGCAAACCUCUUUGGGCUGCAGGUGCACUUCUGAGAGGAGUAAGGAGGAGUUUCUCCCCAGGAAGGGCCUGCCAAAAGAAGAGCAGUGUUCUGGGGUGGUGGUUCUUAAACGCUAGCAUGAGAAGGCACGGACUGCUGCCCCCUCUCCCCGCCCCCCCAGAGUUUCUGAUUCAAGAGGGCCAGGGUGGGGCUGGAGAAUUUGCAUUUCCAGCAAGCUGCCAGAAGAUGCUGAUGCUUCUAGUCCAAGAACCACUGUUCAAGGCAAAAGGGACAGACAGCAAAGCCUUGAGACAGCAAAGAGCUUGGUGCAUUCAAGGACUAGAAAGGAGUCUGGCGUGGCUGCAGGAUGAAGAACACCGAGGCAUCAGACAAGUUAUGUAACUGUCCAGGGUUACAUAACCAGGAAAUAACAAACCGGAAUGUGAACCCAGGUAGCAUAAGGCAGGCGUUGGGCUCGCAGACUUCAUCCCACACUGCCUUUCUACUGCAUGUUGCUGUCCUUAUAAAUG